GUCAGGCUGGGACCCGAGACCUCUCCCAAUGCCAUGUUCUCCAGCCAAUGUGAGCAUCCGCCCUGUGUCAGGCCGUGUGCGCAGCACAGGACACGCAUGUUCUCAUGGGAUCUCCACCACGUGUUGAAGUAGGAACUCUGCCCAUCCCCAGCUGAGCGCCGAAACCCUGCAGCUUUCAGAGGUUAAACAGAGGAGCCACGGUCACAGUCAUCAGCCUGGUAACGGCACCGGCCUGGAGUAAAACUGUCACCGUGACGACAGCUCGGUUCUCCCCGAGGAGAGACGCACUGGCCACUCGCUGGUCGCGGCCAGUCAGGUUUUCCUGUGCGGCCAGGAAGAGGGAUUUCGUAGCACAGGGGCUGCCCCAUCGCAGGCUGUGGGAACACCCUACUGAACUGGAUGGGAAAAUUAGGCACGACAAGAAGAUUAAUUAACACACAUGCCAGAGUAAGCAAUCACUUUGUUAAGCCUCCGACUUGGCCUUAAUUGCCACCAUUAGCGAGCAGAAAUCGGCUUUUGCAUUCAGCAGCUAACGGUAUUGAACGCUCUGUACAAAGUCUUCUCUCAGAAUGAUUUUCGCUCAUCCAUUUAAGUGGAUGCUACGGUUUUUUUAAAAAAUACUAAAUUUUGCCGUCUUGUGGCUUGCCUUAUAGCUGCCGAAGAAGCAGGGGGCUUUUGAAAGGUGACAAAAGGAAAAAUCCUAGAGGGAAGGCCUGUGGAAAUGUGCAUUUCAAACAUGUAUACCCCACCCCCCGAUCUGCUAAUUGAAAUGAGAGGAUAAGGAGUCAGAUUUCCCCACGAAAAGUAGAGAAGUCACUUACAUACCAAGCAGUUCAUCCCACUCUACUGUGCUUAUGUCUCAUUUCAUUGUUUAUAUUUUCAUCCUGUUUCUGGUGUAUUCUCAUUCACCAAGCUGUUGAAUGGAGGACUGGAGAUAAAUAAGAUCUAUUUCUGAGACCGGGA